CCCCAAAAUAAUCAUCUCUGUAUACCCUUUCUACAGUAGAAGUAAAGAAGAGCAAGCACACUGCUCUGUGUGUGAGGAGGUUCUGAUACUGUAGUGAUGAGCAGUUAAAGAACUCAUGGGGAAGAGACCACAUAACUUUCCUAAUUUUAAUAUAACUUCAAAGACAGGAGUGAAACAUGGUACUGUUCUACUUUUGUUAGGAAAGCAGGGAGGUCUCUUGGAACUUGGGCAGAGGAGGCUUUCUAAAAUGAAUGUUAAUUUGACAUCCUUGGAGUUGAAUGUAAUGUUCUUACUGGGUGGCCUUAAGAUUAUAAAUAGUUCCAAGAGAAAAAAUUGUUUGUUUACUACUUGAAGCAUAACAGUUCUUUGAUAUCCAUGGAAAAGGGUUGAAGUGUAGACUCCUCUGGCAACUUUCACACCAGUGUUUCACAUGAUAAUGUUUUUUCUAAGCUAUACUUUAUCAGGCAAGUGUAGGGUUCUUUGUUGGCUUUUUUUUUUUUUUUCCCCCAGCUAAUCUUUCACCAGAUGCAUAUCUUCACUUUCAUCCUCUGAUCUCCUUGUUGUACUUUGGGGUCAGCAAAUCUGCCAGCCAGUAUUUGUCCUGCGGCAAUUGUUGUCAGUUGAGCAUCUUAUUUGACUUAAUUUGUAGCAAGCAUGCUACAUAUUAAUACUUGAACUGUGGCCCCCAUGUAAUAAUCCUCUGUUUUCUGGAGCCUAAGAUAAGAAAAUCUCUGCAUAAAACAAACCGAUGAGAAGAACAAGGUGUCUAAGCAGUUACAUCAGACUAGUGCAGUAACAUCUAAGUGGCUGCAGAAUGCCAUGCCAUGGCUUGUCUUUUCACAUUUGUAUGCCUAAUAAUGUGAACUGUUAUGUCAUGAAAUGUUACUAGUGACAACACUUCUCUCUUUCUCGGUGGUGCUUCUAGCCUGUGAUCUCAAAUGUGAGUUUACUGAUUUCUGUCUCACUGUUGAAGUCUCAUAUCUGCUUGCUGCAGGCCAUUCCCUAGAUCUGUUUUCUCGCUCUUCUUCUACUGCCAAAUACCGCGGACUUUGUCUUUUGCUGCCAUUGACACAGGAGUGUUCUUAUCACAGCUUCUGCCUCUGAAAUACUCACAUGCUUCCUCUCUACCUCAUUGACUUUGUCUCAUUUCAGAUCUCAUUCGAAAACCUCUUCUCCCUUGCCUAUUUCUUUUAAUUAAUCUCUUUCUAUUAUUUAACUGCAUAUUUUACUGCCUUGCAGCUUAAAUUAUGCAGCUGUUUUUCAUGAUGCUUUUCAGACAAACAGCUUCUACUAGCAUGGGUUUGAAUAAUUUGAAGCCUGCGCUACUGAAGACAUUUAUAUAUGCUGCUUUUUUAGAUUAUCUUUAUUGGCACAGAGUUAAGACUAAGGCCUUGGCUGUGAAGUGAUCUGUAACCACCUGAAGAAGCCAUGAUGAGCAGGAUACAGAGGAAACAGAGCAGUUGGGGAGACGUGGUGUGCGCUGGGACUGAUGUGAUUCUGUUUACUAGUAAAACUCUUAGGAGGCCUCUGCCAGGCCUUUUCUUUAUAAGAAAUCUGUUCAGGAAGCUGGUCCUUUUGUUAUUCUGACACCAUGGAGUAGAAAGGGCUUAAAAAAACUUCUCUGCUUGGAGGGCUUUGGAUCUCUUAUCAGUGAGAGAAAGAUGGAUGUGUCAGGGGGAAUGGUGUUCUGUUAACCUGCAUUAGUGGCCAUGUAUCCACAAACCAAAGCUGGACCCGAUCCUGAAGGGUUUUUAUGAAAUAUGAUUAUAGCAUUCAGAGUUCCUGCUGUGAGGUCUUGUGACUGGUGGCUUGGAUGAUGCUUCAAUCAAGGUCCAGAGAGUAUCAGACUAAACAAAUAGAGGUAUGAUGGAUCAAUGCACUUAGGUUGGCAAGAUCCUUGGAGACCUGGCUGGGAAUUGGUCAGCUUUUGAUUUGCUGGCUGGCUUGCAGGAUUUCUAAAUCUCUGGGAGGAGCUAUUGUGAUGCAAACUCCUGGCUUUAGCUGUCUUAGAUAAAAUGUGCUGUCUGGUUUGAAAGUGAUUGGCUCUACAAGGGCUCUCUUCAAACACCGUGGGUGUGUUUCCUGCUGCAGCAUACCUUAUGUUCUCCCAGCACUGAAAUGAUCUGAUUGCCGCAGUAGUCCUGAGACUUGUCUGGGAGCAUUGCAAGUACAUGUUGUCUUAAAUGGCAACAGAUUUUGUAUCUCUUUUCUAAGGUGUCUGUAGCUUUGAAUGCUAAAGAAAAUCGUUGUUGCCAUAGAUGUAAUUGGGCUCACACAGUGUUGCUUACUUUGUAAGAAGUGUCAUUUCUAGGUGUGUGUUUCAUUCCUCUUUAGCAGUCUGCCCUUUAAACCAACGGAGAAGGAUAACAGUCAGGGGAAAGCUUUCUAGUACACGUUCCCUCUUUGGAAACCUGCUAUACAUGAACAAGAACUGUAAAAUCAGCUCCUGUCAGUACUCUGCAAUGAAUGUUGAACAUUUCAGAGAUCGAGGGAGGUAUUUGUUGUGACUAUGAGAGAGACUCAUUUACUGGGGCUAGAAGCCAAGUAUGCAGGGAUAUGGUACCUGUGGGCUGCUGCCCCUCUGCUGAGGGGAGAAAAGUUUGUUUUGGUCCUGAAUGUGGUCCUGUGUGGUAUUUGAGAUUGGGAUUCCUUGGGCAUGGAAAGUGCUUAAAAGUCGACAGAGAAUAGUCUGUGUUGAAUAGCUUUGUCUUGCUGACAGAAAAUGGGAAUGGUUUGAAUGGUGAUUGAAAAGCAAGUUGAGGGUCUUGAGCCUUUUUCUGGUAGGAGUAAAAGCACAGGAGGAAUGGGGGAG